rnacentral:rRNA from 1 species
CCUACGGGUGGCAGCAGUGAGGAAUAUUGGUCAAUGGACGCAAGUCUGAACCAGCCAUGCCGCGUGCAGGAUGACGGCUCUAUGAGUUGUAAACUGCUUUUGUACGAGGGUAAACGCAGAUACGCGUAUCUUUCUGAAAGUAUCGUACGAAUAAGGAUCGGCUAACUCCGUGCCAGCAGCCGCGGUAAUACGGAGGAUUCAAGCGUUAUCCGGAUUUAUUGGGUUUAAAGGGUGCGUAGGCGGUCGGAUAAGUUAGAUGUGAAAUUCCGCGGCUCAACUUCGGAAUUGCAUUUGAUACUGGUCGGCUAGAGAGUAGUUGCGGUAGGCGGAAUGUGUGGUGUAGCGGUGAAAUGCGUAGAGAUCAUGAAGAACACCGAUUGCGAAGGCAGCUUACCAAGCUACUUCUGACGUUGAGGCACGAAAGCGUGGGGAGCAAACAGGAGUAGAUACCCCUGUAGUC